GCCUGGCUGGCUCAGUCAGUACAGCAUGUGACUUGUGAUCUCAGGGUCAUGAGUUUGAGCCCCGUGUUGGGUG
rnacentral:tRNA from 1 species